GAUGAACGCUGGCGGCGUGCCUAAUACAUGCAAGUCGAGCGAACAGAUGAGGAGCUUGCUCCUCUGACGUUAGCGGCGGACGGGUGAGUAACACGUGGAUAACCUACCUAUAAGACUGGGAUAACUUCGGGAAACCGGAGCUAAUACCGGAUAAUAUAUUGAACCGCAUGGUUCAAUAGUGAAAGACGGUUUUGCUGUCACUUAUAGAUGGAUCCGCGCCGCAUUAGCUAGUUGGUAAGGUAACGGCUUACCAAGGCAACGAUGCGUAGCCGACCUGAGAGGGUGAGCGGACACACUGGAAAUGAGACACGGUACAGACUCCGACGGGAGGCAGCAGUAGGGAAUCUUGGGAAAUGGGCGAAAGCCUGACGUAGCAACGCAGAGUGAGUGAGGAAGGUCUUAGGAUCGUAAAACUCUGUUAUUGGGGAAGAAAAGAAGUGUAAGUAAAUAUGCACGUCUUGACGGGACCUAAUCAGAAAGACACGGCGAACUACGUG
rnacentral:rRNA from 1 species